rnacentral:lncRNA from 1 species
AUAACAGGAAGACACUGAAGGAUUUUAAGCCCAGGAAAAUGUGGUCCAUUUAAUUGAUUUAGAAAGUCCCUCUUGCUCCUAGUUCUUCUACAGGGAAGAAGUAGGAUAUUAGAGGGCUCUAGUAGAGGUCCACGUAAGUGGUGAUGGUGAUUGAUAUUCAGGAUAUCUGCUGAGAUGAAGAAAAGGGGAGGACUAAAGGGAUAUUUUAUGGGAUAAAGGCCUUUUUCAUGGAUUAAAAAUGGGAAGUAAGGGAAGGGGUUAAUUGGAAAUGUUUCCUUGGGGUGUGAACAAACCGUUAUUAGGCUUGGGUGAUAGAGGGUAACAGCAUUGUCUUUCCCCUAAAGGGUGUUAUCUGCAUUUCUGCAUGGAACUUCUCCACGUGGCUUUAGUGUGGGGCACACUGAUGCAGCCAGGGCUGCUGCUGCUGCCUUGAAAGUUUGCUACCUGCAGAGAACUUGGUCUUGGCUUCUGGGAUAAGGAAGCCUUUUUCUGGAGGACACCAGAGACAGGGUUCAUGGCUAGGUACUAUCUCAAGUGGAGACCUUGGUAGAGGGUCAGGGCAGGUUACAGAGGGAUGGUCUGUGAGUGAGAGCUCACAGGGAAUUGCUGAAGUGGCCAGUGAGUGUGUGAUGUUAACUUGGCCUCAUUUGUACCUAAUCAGUAUUUAUGAUAUUCUUACAGCUAUGGCACCUUUUGGCUAUUGGCAACUUCUCAGAAAGGUUGAAAUUCAGAAUUAAGAGAUGUCAUAAAGUUAUUUUAGGUGCUAGGCUGCCCAGAUAUUUCAGUUUAUAUUGAGGUAUAUACCAUUCAUGCCCCCCCAUCAUACUGAAUUCAUAAAUGUCCCCAUUCUUCUAUUUCUUUUCUGAGAUGGAUGCAACAAAUGAGAGGGCGUAGUCUGAGCCCUACUGGGGAUAUAUCUCUGGGACCAUCAUCUGGGAGUUAUGAGUAGGCAGAGAGGUGAUUUUCAUUUUCUGCAAUAACUUCCCACAGUAAGUAGGUGGGAGGGUGCAGUGAUUGAUGAGCUAAAUUAGAUGGAAAGUGGCUCAAAUCAGAUUCUAGGUGAUUGCUCCUGCCUCUCGACUCACUGCACUUAUUUUCUAUUCCACUCAUUUAGCAAAUGAUUAUGGUCUGUCUUAUGACAUUUCUUAUAUUGUUGUUUCAUUCUUUACCUUUUUCCCACAUUUUCCUUUCUUUUUUCUCCAGCUACAUCAGUUACUCCUUAAAGAUAGGAAUGGGGUUUUGUUUAUUGUUCUGGUAUUUUCACGCCUUCCACAGAGUAAAUGCACAAUGAUUGCAUAGUGUUUGACUGAUAGUUGCUGCUCCAGAUGGAAUGUUUCCUAAAGAAGUUUGCUGAACAUAUCUUGCCUUAGAAAAGUAGAUAAUAAGGAUAAGGGCCACACUAAGCAUGUUUCAGUUUCAAAUAUCAAGCAUUUUGGAAGAUGAAUUUGAGAUAACUCCAUUCUAACCAUUAUACUACAGCUCUGACUGGACCCUUAGCCUGGGAACCUCCAUAUGCUGUGGGUGCAGCCCUAAAAAAAAAGAAAAGAAAAGAAAAGAAAUGGUCUAGUUUUUUUAAUGGUGAAACUUUCUCUAAAGUUUAUAUAAGGUGGAGUCACAUGAAAUCCCCAGUGUUUGAGCUGCAAAUAUGGCAAAAUCGUAUGGAUCAAUCUAAUAAGACAAUCAGCCAAUAAUGAUUCAUUCCACUGAUUCAGUCUGAGAUGGAAAUGAACUAAUAGGAAGCAAGGCUCACUUCUGCUAUAAUAGCUUGGGAAAGAGAGGUCAUUGGGGCAGAGGAAGUGAUGUUAGGGGCAGGUUUCCCUGAAUGACCACUGAUUUUUCUCAUGAGUUGGGACUUCUGGUUCUGACCUGUGGUUUUUGUUCUAGUAUUCCCCAAGACCUUUUAAUGCCGCCUAAACAGGAGUCACGACGGGGCCCAGAAGGGUCAAGGCACGAUACCUUGGAGUUAUAACACCCAUUAACUGCCAGCCCAUCCACCUUGGAGAUGCUAGAGAUGGUCAGGGGAAGCUAGAUGUGGCAGCCGAUGGCACUAAUUUCAUAGUUUUCUUCUAUUUCCUUCCUUGUUUCCAUUACAUUCCUUAGAAUAGCUCUGCCUCCUUUGCUCUCUUGAUUAAAUCCUGGGUUUUGAGUACUGGGUUCAGUCUGCAGAUGUUGGAAGCUUGGGAAAGACUUGCAUUGGUUGUUUCCCCUUAAUUCCUCUGGUUAAACAGAGAGGAAUCUUCUAGAUUCCCCUAGCGGAACUCAGAUUCACCAGCUGGACAUGAGGGGGUGCCUUUGCCUUAUUUUCUGUGAGAACCAAGGGGAGCCUGACUUCAUGUUAGAGAGGAGAGACUGGAAGGUGAAGCUUGAGAACAAGGAAGAUAUGUCAUUGGAAAUAGGAGCCAAAGUCCAGAAGAACAAGUCUGGGAACUGAAUUAACUGGGGGAAAGAAAGCUAUCAAGUGUAUUUUUACCAUUAGAUAGAGCAAGAAAUACUUUUUAAAACCAGGUCUUCCCUGGAUUCUGUCAUUACUAAAAGCAUAACCAGAGAGUAGCUUUUUCAAGUCAGAAAAAUAUUGGAAAUAAGGAAAAAUACUUGGCUUGCUGUACUUAGAACUCCACAUGACCUACAGUUAUGUAUCUAAGAAAGAGGCAAAGCCGUAGUAUUAGGAAAAAUUAAGGUAUAUCCAAACAUUGAAGCAAAGCUUCAGCCCCUUGUUAUUACCUCUGAAUGGUGCUUUAGAUUCUUUAUAAAUUUACUCCAUGAAUGACCUUAACCAAAGUUUGCCCAUGAUAUCAUUUGUUUCUUGUAGCAGCCCUGAGAAAAAGAAAGUAUGACCCAUUUAUAGAUGGAGAAAAUGAGCCUCAGAGAGGUUAAAAAAAAAAAAACCCUACAAUCAUACAGAUUGCAAAAUCAGUUGCAGAGAUGGAAUUUCAAUCUGAACUUGUCUGAUUCCAGAGCCAGUACUUUUUCUACCAUGUCAUACUUUUUUCCCUCUCUAGUUGGAGGCAUCUUUAAAAAGGAAAAGGAAUUAUGUGAAAUUCUUCUAAAAAAAGGCUAAAAGUAGGCCAAUGUCCCAUCCCCAAAGAGCAGCAGUAGAGUGUGACAUGGGAUACCAGCUUAGGUUUCUUCUAAGAGCAAAAAUGCAGAAUCCAAGGCCCAAUUCCACUCUCAGAAUCAGCAUUUUAGUCUAUGGCCAUACCACCUUGAACGCGCCCAAUCUCAUCUGAUCGCAGAAACGAAGCAGGGUUAGGGGUGGUUAGUACUUGGAUAGAGGAAUUAGCAUUUUAACAGGCUGCUCAUAGGGUGCAGAAUCUAAGGGCCCAUUCCAGAAUCAGAAUCUACUGAUUUCUAUAUUUAGAAACCCCCCAGGUGAUUUUUAAGCACAUUAAAGUUUGAGAAGCACUGCCCUAACCAUCUGAAAGCUGCUUCUCUAUACUUGUUCUGUCUCAGGUCCUGUAAGUCUUUGACUCAGGGAAGGAUCAUGGCUGGUUAUUGCCCUGGUAUCAAUUUCAGAGACAGAUCAUAAACAACAGGGGUCAUAUCUUUGUUUCCUCUUCUUUUAUAUCCCCUCUUCACUCUCUAGUCUUUUUCACUUGCCCAUAUGGCAAUGAAGUCAGGAGAGAAUGAAAAAAAAAAAGAGUUAAAAUUAAGGAAUAGGAAUUUCUGAUCAAGGUUUUCUGUGCCAGCUUUAUGCUCCCUUCCCAAAUUGUGCUAAGUAAUGUGCCCAACAAUAUCAACCUUAUCAGAGAAUACCAGCAUCCUGACUGUUCAGUACACCCUUUUGAAAUUAUUAUAGCUCCUACAAUUACUUAGAGGUCAUGCACUUUGGGUUUCUCAUUCAAUCCAGAAAAGAGCUUUCUAGGUUUUAUUUCUGUUUCACACACAGCCAUAUACUCAAGCAUCUUAAGGGUGGCUGAGCAUAAGUAUGAUAAAUUUCAACCUUUAAAGACAAAUUUGAGAAAACUACCAUUGAUGGAACCCCAGGGCUUAGAGUGGCCCAUUUUGGUCAUGAGGCUGAACCAGCCACAUGUAACACUGGCUGCUUUUUACCACACAGGUUCCCUCUUAGAUAUGAGGAUUAUGGCAUUUGCUUCUGCUUUCUUUCGGCUUCAGUGAAAAUGGCCUUCCACGGUUUUUUCUCUCUAAUUUUUUUUUCUCUGUAUGAUUAUAGAAUGAUCUGUGAAGCAGAAAGAAGACAAAAAAAAUUAUAAGCUGGGUCUACUCUGUGGUCUCAACAGAAAUUCAGCAAAUGUGACAGGGGAGUCAAUGGGAAACCCAUCACCCGUCAUCAGUCUGUCACAUUGACAAUGAGCACCAUGCCUAAUUUCUGCAGGGUGUACUUUCAAACACACCAACAUGUAAAUUUUUAGGCAGGCGUUAAUAAGGGAAACCCUUUAAAUAAAAAUCCAAAUUACUUUUUUUUAAUGGAAAAAAAAAAA